UCAGAUCAACAACCGGUAUAACCCACCUAUCUCGAUCGGAAAGAAAUUUUGAUCCGAACGAGUCUGAUCGUGGAACAGUAUUCCGAACGGAAUGUUUACAUGACGCAUUUUCCUUCCGAUCAGGUGUUCUUUCCCAUUACUUUUGCCCAUGUAAACGCAGCUAUCGUCAGGGUUUUAGUUUCUUUACUUUUGUUUUCUGGUUGUCUUUUGUUUAUUCAUGUUUUGAGUUUACUUCCCGUUUUAUUUUGUAGGGUUUCCUGUGUUGUGUCGUGUCUUCAAGUUUUACUUUUGCUCCCCAUCUGCCCUCAUUAUUUCCACCUGUGUCUCGUCAGUCCUGUAUGUAUUUAAGUCGUGUCUUUCCCUUCCUCCUGUGCCUUUCCAUAGUAUUAGGUUAAUGUUCCUCUGUUUCCAGUAUGUCAAAUAUUUCAAGUUUUUCCUGCUCAGCAGUGGAUUUUGGUUUUUGUUUAAUGUUAAGGUUCUGCCUCCUCCUCCUCUCUGCACCUGGGUGCUUCCCACAUUCCCCCAUGUGACAUUGAAUAAAAAUAUUGGACAUCAUACUCUGCAGAUCUCUCGCCUGCAGAUGUAUAGGACCAGAGGGCGCGCUGUGCCCAACGUAGAGAAACAAUCAAAUCAGCAUUUUCACGCUCCUCAAGGACGAGGUAAGUGACUUGCGUGUUAAUACUUGCUUCAUCAAAACUGGCCUUUGCUUUAGUUUUCUUUAUUCAAGCAUUUCCUAUUCUUAAUUUGUUUUCAUUGUUGUCCGAGCUGCCAUUCGCACACACAUUUUACACUGUUGUGCAAAAAAGGAAUGGUCGCUUCCACUUAGGCUUCAUUGUACUAGCAUGCAUUUUCCGACAUUGUGCGUCGUGCUUUUGUUUUUCUUCUUCAAAUUAAACGUUUUCAAUGUUCAAAUUUCUCAGACUAUGUUGCAGGUCCAUGUGCACGUAUGUGCAAGCAUGGUACAUAAACAUAUGUGCACGCACACGCACGCAUGCAUGUGCACAUGCAUGCAAGUACAUGCAUGCUUUUAAAGGCCUAGAUGAGGAUUUUGACAGAUAUUUAUAUUGCUUUGACAUUUCAGGGUGGAACUGCAUUUUGCAAACCAAUUGCAAAGAUUUUGCAAAGAUACUUGAAUUAAACACACUUUGAAGUCUUGCCAGCACCCUGUGUAACCACCAUGGAUGGCAACCCAGGUCACAAACUCAAACACCACAGCACAUCGCCAGCAGGCCGUUCUUGUGGCUUCAAAAGAGCCCCACAUGAAUCGGGAGAACAAGAAGGUCUUCCCUCCACCUCCACCAGAGCUGCUCCAUCAGUUCACCGCCCUGGACCAUGCAGAAAACCCGCUGCAAGAUGAAAGGAUCUCUUGCCUAUCGCAUCAGCAGUGUCUGGGAAGGCUGGUGUUGCCUUUUGGGCAUUUUAAAAACGCCCCUUUCCACUGGCUUGUAGCCAAUGAUAUUUGAUACCUGAAAUUCCUAGUUGACAAGCACAGAGCUGAGGUGAUUAACCCGACUCGAAAGGAGACAUAGGAAACCACCGGAUCAAAGACUACCUGGCAGAGUAUGCAGAGAGCUUCCCUCAAGUCUCCGUUCUCCUCGAGGCCAACAUAGGCAGGUGCAUCUAUGGCCAGAAAGGAUUUGAAGAUCACACCUUUCAGGAGAUGUGGGAACUCUACCAGCAGUAUGGAGCCCAAAAGGACAGGCCAGACAAAUUCAGCUCAAAGGAGAGGGAGAUGAUACAGAAAGCUAACAGCUCGGUGAGAAGAUGGUUAAACCCACCGCUGACCCACAUCACCAGCAUGCAGAUGAAAAGGUUCAGAAAAUACAUCACAGAAAAGGAACAACAACAGCUGAAAAUGGGCAAUCCACCUUCAAUGUCUGCUGCUGCUGAUGGCUGCAUGUCAGGCUGUGGAAGGCAAGAGACUAACCGAGUUAAUGAAAAAUAAGUACACGUCUUUCUUGAUCCCAAAAUUUUUACUUAUUAGAUUUAGUGACGUCUCAGGAGUCCGCAAGUGCAAGCAAAGGCAGUAGUCGGCCUACUGAGAUGGUUUAAAAAGAAUCCCAGCCCACAAAAAAGUCAAAGCAGAAGUCAGCCCGCCGGGUCAGGUCAUCCUCAUUUUCCCCCCGGAAAGAGAUGACUGCCUCAUCUGCAUCUCUAUCCCAGCCUCAGAUUUCCUCAUCUGCCCCCUUUCAUCCAAAGAGGACCUCCCCAUCUGCAUCCUCCCAACCUAGGGGUCAGUAAGAGGCCCAUGUUGUCUGAAUCUACUGCACAGCACUCAGCAUCUUUCCUUCAGACCAGUGCGUUGGCCUCCACAUUAUUCGCGUGGAAUUGCCUCAGAGGGACUCACCUGUAAGUUAGUAAAUAUGACUAAAUCUCUUACAUUUAAUUGAAAUUACAUACGUUCUGUAUAUAAUUUGCGAUGCAGGUGGAGUUAGAGGGUUGGGUGCGUCUGUGGGAAGACCCCAACGGCAUCCUGCCUGAUAAUAUUAACUGGCUGAAGGAGGACACAGAGAGAGGACUGUUCACAGACGUUCAGAUAUAUAAAGACACUUCUGGCCAUCUGAAGAGGAGCGGUUGAUGAAAUCAGACCAGAUGUGGUUUAACCCUACGGAGCCUCCUGGUUUCAUCAGCAGUUAUCUUCACACCUCUUUUUUUGCAGCCGUGUCUGGUGUCCUGUUUGGAGGUAAAGUGUCAUCUGGGUGUUACGUGUGACGGUGCAGGGAGAGAUGUGCACCUCUACAAGUCUGGCUACCAUAAUCAGGUACGACUCACCCUUUUUUCUUUUUUAGCAGAAGUGUUCAGGACAGAAGAUCUAAUACUAGUGUAUUUUAACAGCUUUCCAAUACAGCUUAAGUUUUGUUCCGUUUAGCUGGUAAAUAUAGCCUCAGAGAUGAACACAUCACACGUUCCUCAGCUUUGCUUCACCGUUUCUAAACUCUGCAGGUACGGCACAUAUGUGACGUGUCCAGCUGGUACACAAUGCUGACUGAGGUUUUGUGCUGUGGACAGUAUAUCCAAUACUAGUUUAUUUUAAAAGGAAGCUUCAUUGUCCUUUACUUUUAUUAUUGCAAAGUAAGUUCUACAAACGAGUCACUUCUUAAAGCUCUUUUUAAACAUUGUAAUUCUCAGUGCAACACAAUCGAUAAAGGAUGUCGUCCUGCUUUAGCUGCCCAUCAAAAAAACAGAACAUUUGUUUUUUAAUUCAAAUUGGAUUUCCAAUACAGCUUAAGUUUUGUUCCGUUUAGCUGGUAAAUAUAGCCUCAGAGAUGAACACAUCACACGUUGCUCAGCUUUGCUUUACUGUUUCUCAUCUCUGCAGGCAGGUGACGUGUCCAGCUGGUACACAAUGCUGACUGAGGUUUUGUGCUGUGGACAGAAAUAAAGAGGGUGGCACAGUGGGGCGCUGGCUUGCAUGGGAUCAUGCAAUUCUGUCCCAGCUCAGUGAGGCAAAUCAAGCCAUGUUUCCUGCUGUUUUCACCUGCAAGUGAGUGUUACCAGCAGCAUCCAGCUCCAAAGAUCCUGUACAUUGAUCGGGGGUGUUGUCCUGCACAAGGCCCAACAGCAGUGGAGACUUUGUUCAAGCCUUGGGUUGACCGUGGGAUGGUGGUUUCUCUUGACAUUGUCCACUGAAUCCAUGCAUCGACGCAGCCAUCUGGAUGGACAGCCACUCCAAAUGUGCUGCAUUCAAGUCAGCACUAGCUGGGGCUGUUCUGGCCUACAACAGAGACCACCUGGAUCUGCUAAUAAAGGAUGUCAGGGCUAAGGGGGAAGCCCUUAAGUCUUUAUCAGAUGAUUGACAAAACUGACCAAGCUCUGCCACUCUAGUGGACAAAGUAACUAACUACAUUUUUCAAUGAAAGACAGAAAUCCUCCAAGAAUCCAUCAUUUGAUCAAUAUUGGUAAAAGACGUCAAUUGGCUUUAUGUCUUCAAGAGCUUUGACAUUGUAAAGCUGUGUGUCACAAAGAUUGAUGCCAUCCUCACCGACUGUGUUCCUAAGAGAUUGUCAGCAGAAGCUGAGAUGAAUUGAAGCAGAAGAAAGAGAGAACCACGUUCACAAGGGAACAGAGUUUAACCAUUGGAAUCAAAAACACACCAUUCUAUAGCAGUGUUUUUCAACCUUUUCUGAGCCACGGCACACUUUAACCUUAAAAAAAAAAAUCCCGCGGCACA